rnacentral:rRNA from 1 species
GGCGUUAAGUUGCAGGGUAUAGACCCGAAACCCGGUGAUCUAGCCAUGGGCAGGUUGAAGGUUGGGUAACACUAACUGGAGGACCGAACCGACUAAUGUUGAAAAAUUAGCGGAUGACCUGUGGCUGGGGGUGAAAGGCCAAUCAAACCGGGAGAUAGCUGGUUCUCCCCGAAAGCUAUUUAGGUAGCGCCUCGUGAAUUCAUCUCCGGGGGUAGAGCACUGUUUCGGCUAGGGGGCCAUCCCGGCUUACCAACCCGAUGCAAACUGCGAAUACCGGAGAAUGUUAUCACGGGAGACACACGGCGGGUGCUAACGU